rnacentral:rRNA from 1 species
GGUUCGAUUCUGCUCAGAUUGAAUGCUAUGGGAUGUUUACACAUGCAAGUCGAACGGCAGCAUUGACUUCGGUCUGGUGGCGAGUGGCGAACGGGUGAGUAAUGCAUCGAACGCCGCAUGGGGAUAACUACGCGAAAGCGAAGACAGCCUGCAGACAUGCAUGCCCUUCGGGGGAAAGCGGGGGGAUCCGGGCCUCGGAAUGUUAGAGCGGCUGAUAUCGGAUUAGCGGUUGCGGUAACGGCUCACCAAGGCGACUGAUCCCAGCUGGUUUGAGAGGACGACCAGCCACACUGGGACUGAGAGCAUAUCGCACCCUACGGGAGGCAGCAGUGGGGAAUUUGGAUAAUGGGAAACCUGAUCCAGCCAUUCCGCGGUGGCGAAGGCCUUCGCCAGAAGACUUUUCGGCAGGAAGAAAUGGUAUCGAUAAUACCCUCGUGCAACUGACGGUACCUGGUGAAUAAGCACCGGCUAACUACGUGCCAGUGCUACAGAAGUAGGGUGCGUUAAUCGGAAUUACUGGGCGUAAAGGUGCAGGCGGUUCGGAAGAAAGAUGAACCCAGAGCUUAAUUUGGAACCGUACUUAACUGCUUGAGCUAGAGCAAGUCAGAGGGAGGAAUUCCGUGCAAGCAGUGAAAUGCGUAGAUAUGCGGAGGAACAACGAUGGCGGCGCAGCCUCCUGGGAUAACACUGACGCUCAUGCACGAAAGCGUGGGGAGCAAACAGGACGAGACUCGGUAGUCCACGCCCUAAACGAUGUCAACUGCUGUUGGGGCUUCGGCCCGGUAGCGCAGCUAAUCGCGUGAAGUUGACCGCCUGGGAGUAAUACGGUCGCAGAGCUAAAACUCAAAGGAAUUACGACCCGCACAAGCGGUGGAUGAUGGGACAAUCUGAUGCAACGGCGAAAAACCUUACCUACCCCGGAUGUCUGGGAAUCCUGAAGAGAUUUGGGAGUGUUUCAAAGAGAACCGGAACACAGGUGCUGGUAUGGCUGUCGUCAGCUCUUCGUGUCGUGGGAUGUCGGGCAAGUCCGUACCAGAGCGGCAACCCUUGUCAUUACACAAAGGGCACUCUAAUGAGACUGCCAGGACAAAACCGGAGGAAGGUGGGGAUGACGUCAGUCCUCAUGGCCCUUAUGGGGGUCAACACGUCAUGCAAUGGUCGGGACAGGGUCGCCAACCCGCGAGGGGAGCCAAUCCCAGAAACCCGAUCGUAGUCCGGAUCGCAGUUCGCAACUGACUGGUGAAGUUUGAAUCGCCAGGGAACUGGUGGAUCAGCACAUGUCGCGGUGAAUACGUUCCCGGGUCUUGUACACACCCAGCCUGUCACACCAUGGGGAGUGGGUUUUACCAAGAAGUAGUUAGCCAACCGUAAGGAGGGAAGAUUACCACGGUAGGAUUCAUGACCAGUGAAGUCGUACCGGGUUGCAACU